rnacentral:hammerhead_ribozyme from 1 species
AUUCAGCUGACGAGUCCCAAAUAGGACGAUCCUGGAU